rnacentral:rRNA from 1 species
UAAAUACAAUCCUAUGCGGUGGAUCACUUGGCUCGCGAGUCGAUGAAGAGCGCAGCAAACUGCGUGAAUUAAUGUGAUUUGCAGGACACAUUGAUCAUCGAUAUCUUGAACGCAUAUUGCGGUUAUGGAUCGCUUCCAUGACCACGCCUGUCUGAGGGUCGGUAUU